rnacentral:rRNA from 1 species
UUCUAAGGGCGGUGAAGUCAGACCGGAAGGACUGGUGGAGCGCUUAGAAGUGAGAAUGCCGGUAUGAGUAGCGAAAGAAGGGUGAGAAUCCCUUCCACCGAAUAUCUAAGGUUUCCUGAGGAAGGCUCGUCCGCUCAGGGUUAGUCGGGACCUAAGCCGAGGCCGAUAGGCGUAGGCGAUGGACAACAGGUAGAGAUUCCUGUACCAGUGCUAAUUGUUUAACCGAUGGGGUGACACAGAAGGAUAGGGAAUCGCACGAAUGGAAAUGUGCGUCCAAGCAGUGAGUGUGAGAAGUAGGCAAAUCCGCUUCUCGCGAAGCAUGAGCUGUGAUGGGGAAGGA